GCGGUCAUUAAAAAAACCGAAGUUUACUUUAAUAAUUUCUAGCAGGCACAAGGCGGUAGCCUAAUAAUACCCGUGAUUUUAAAACGUUAUUUAACAAGGCGUGCAUUACUUACAGUUUGCCAUUAUUAAACAUUCUUCAAGAAUAUGCUUAUUUAUUGAAAGAGUCUCCAGUGUUAAGGCUUUGUAACUGUUAGCCUUCUACUAUGGGAAAGUCUUCAGGAUCUCAGUAACAUGAUCAGCAGCAUUAUUUAUGUCUUAUUAACAUCAAGAGAGAGAGAGAGAGCGAGAACACGAGAUCAUUUAUCCUACACAGGGUCACAGGGAGUCUGGAGACUACCCCAGGGGAUUCUGGGAGCAAGGCAGAGGACACCCUGGACAGGACGCCAACCAAUCACAGGGCACAGUCACACACUACAGAUCAUUUAGACAUGACAUGUAGUGCAUGUCUUUGGGAUGGGGAGGAAACCCGAGAACACAGAGCAUAUGGAGAACAUGCAAGUUCUACACACACAUAUGCCAGAGGUGAAAAACAGAUACCUUUCUCUGUAUGCAGCUGAAAGACAUGAUAAAGUCAGCAUAUGCACGAAAGCCCAAGGGAUUGGAAAGGACCAUGAUGUCAGGUGCAUGACAGACCAUUUUGGACCUGAAGGCCUG